GGCCCCUAAUCGGGGUUGCGGACAGUGUCUGGUGGGUAGUUUGACUGGGGCGGUCUCCUCCUAAAGAGUAACGGAGGAGCACGAAGGUUGGCUAAUCCUGGUCGGACAUCAGGAGGUUAGUGCAAUGGCAUAAGCCAGCUUGACUGCGAGCGUGACGGCGCGAGCAGGUGCGAAAGCAGGUCAUAGUGAUCCGGUGGUUCUGAAUGGAAGGGCCAUCGCUCAACGGAUAAAAGGUACUCCGGGGAUAACAGGCUGAUACCGCCCAAGAGUUCAUAUCGACGGCGGUGUUUGGCACCUCGAUGUCGGCUCAUCACAUCCUGGGGCUGAAGUAGGUCCCAAGGGUAUGGCUGUUCGCCAUUUAAAGUGGUACGCGAGCUGGGUUUAGAACGUCGUGAGACAGUUCGGUCCCUAUCUGCCGUGGGCGCUGGAGAACUGAGGGGGGCUGCUCCUAGUACGAGAGGACCGGAGUGGACGCAUCACUGGUGUUCGGGUUGUCAUGCCAAUGGCACUGCCCGGUAGCUAAAUGCGGAAGAGAUAAGUGCUGAAAGCAUCUAAGCACGAAACUUGCCCCGAGAUGAGUUCUCCCUGAGACUUAGAGUCUCCUGAAGGAACGUUGAAGACGACGACGUUGAUAGGCCGGGUGUGUAAGCGCAGCGAUGCGUUGAGCUAAC
rnacentral:rRNA from 1 species